rnacentral:rRNA from 1 species
GAUGAACGCUGGCGGCGUGCCUAAUACAUGCAAGUCGAGCGAACGGACGAGAAGCUUGCUCCUCUGAUGUUAGCGGCGGACGGGUGAGUAACACGUGGAUAACCUACCUAUAAGACUGGGAUAACUUCGGGAAACCGGAGCUAAUACCGGAUAAUAUUUUGAACCGCAUGGUUCAAUAGUGAAAGACGGUCUUGCUGUCACUUAUAGAUGGAUCCGCGCUGCAUUAGCUAGUUGGUAAGGUAACGGCUUACCAAGGCAACGAUGCAUAGCCGACCUGAGAGGGUGAUCGGCCACACUGGAACUGAGACACGGUCCAGACUCCUACGGGAGGCAGCAGUAGGGAAUCUUCCGCAAUGGGCGAAAGCCUGACGGAGCAACGCCGCGUGAGUGAUGAAGGUCUUCGGAUCGUAAAACUCUGUUAUUAGGGAAGAACAUAUGUGUAAGUAACUAUGCACGUCUUGACGGUACCUAAUCAGAAAGCCACGGCUAACUACGUG